UACGUAGGUGGCGAGCGUUGUCCGGAUUUACUGGGCGUAAAGAGCGCGCAGGCGGUCGUUCAAGUCGCGUGUGAAAGCCCCCGGCUCAACUGGGGAGGGUCACGCGAUACUGUUCGACUUGAAGGCAGGAGAGGGAAGUGGAAUUCCCGGUGUAGUGGUGAAAUGCGUAGAUAUCGGGAGGAACACCAGUGGCGAAGGCGGCUUUCUGGGCCUUACCUGACGCUGAGACGCGAAAGCGUGGGGAGCGAACCGG
rnacentral:rRNA from 1 species